CUUUGUCGAUUUGGUUGUUGUUUUUUUUCUGUUCAUCUCUCUCUCUCCCUCUCUCAAUGUGUGUGUGUCUGUGUGUAAUUCUUUGAUUCUGAUCGAGAAAUUUUUCAAGUUUUUUUUUUGGUUUUACUAUUCAUGCGAAAAAUAUUCACAUGGUAUGACAUUGACAAUAUAAUCAGAUAUAUAAAUCAAUAUCGAUUUUUUGAAGGGCAAAAAUGUCGAAGGCGUUUUUUAACAGAUGAUUAUCAU